AGAUUUCUGGAAACCCCCGAAAUCUGGGUUAGCCCGCUUGUCCUUAAAAGCGACCAAUUGAACUCGAGACUCCUGCGUUCGACAGCGACGCGCCUAAUUGCAGUACCACAGACGCCAGUGUUUCUAUCCUCAUGUUAUUGGCUGUGCUGCUUCUACUGUUGCUGCCUCUACUUUUGCUACUGCUGCUGGAACACUAUGUUGCUACAACUGCUGCUGUUCUGGUGAUGACGACAGACAGAAAUUAGGUAACAUUUUGAGGAGAGCGUUUAUUCCUGAGCUCUAAGAGAGAUAAUGGACCAAUUGCGUUGCACAGGGGUUCCGUCAUUAUGGAUGAUGAUGGCGGGGGCCGCACGCUGUUGACCCAUCAGCCCAAUAUAUAACACAUCCAAUGCGUGGACACUUUAGUUAUUGCUGCAUGCAAAGUUUGUGUUGACUAAAACGGAAAAACACGUGAUUUUUGUUAUCGUGUGGAAGUCUGAGGUCAGUAGCCAUGUUGUCGUCCAGGAAUUCUCACCACGGAAGACGUGUCUCUCCUAAGACAUUGUGUAAACUACUCCUCGUGUUCUGUUGUGGAGUCUCCAGCGUCUUGAGCUCGCCAAGCGCCGC